rnacentral:rRNA from 1 species
GAUGAACGCUGGCGGCGUGCCUAAUACAUGCAAGUCGAGCGAAUGGAUUAAGAGCUUGCUCUUAUGAAGUUAGCGGCGGACGGGUGAGUAACACGUGGGUAACCUGCCCAUAAGACUGGGAUAACUCCGGGAAACCGGGGCUAAUACCGGAUAACAUUUUGAACCGCAUGGUUCGAAAUUGAAAGGCGGCUUCGGCUGUCACUUAUGGAUGGACCCGCGUCGCAUUAGCUAGUUGGUGAGGUAACGGCUCACCAAGGCAACGAUGCGUAGCCGACCUGGGGGGGUGAUCGGCCACACUGGGACUGAGACACGGCCCAGACUCCUACGGGAGGCAGCAGGAGGGAAUCUUCCGCAAUGGACGAAAGUCUGACGGAGCAACGCCGCGUGAGUGAUGAAGGCUUUCGGGUCGUAAAACUCUGUUGGUAGGGAAGAACAAGUGCUAGUUGAAUAAGCUGGCACCUUGACGGUACCUAACCAGAAAGCCACGGCUAACUACGUGCCAGCCGCCGCGGUAA